GACGAACGCUGGCGGCGUGCUUAACACAUGCAAGUCGAGCGGUAAGGCCCUUCGGGUACACGAGCGGCGAACGGGUGAGUAACACGUGGGUGACCUGCCCUCCACUUCGGGAUAAGCCUGGGAAACCGGGUCUAAUACCGGAUAUGACUUCCUCACGCAUGUGGGGUGGUUGAAAGUUGUGUCGGUGGGGGAGUGGGCCCGCGGUCUAUCAGCUUGUUGGUGGGGUGAUGGCCUACCAAGGCGACGACGGAUAGCCGGCCUGAGAGGGUGAUCGGCCACACUGGGACUGAGACACGGCCCA
rnacentral:rRNA from 1 species